rnacentral:lncRNA from 1 species
UAGAUUUCAAGCUUUUACAGAAACAAACAAAUAUAUUUGCAAUCCUGUGUAUGAAAUUGAAAACGUAUAUUCGGUCUUUUCCCAAAAAAAUAUUUAGGUCAACUUCUCUUCAUAAUAAAUUAUUAUUAUAGGACAAGUAGCAAAAAUAAAAUUCUCUAUGUCAAUCAAAUACGGUGCUUCAUUUCAAACCUCACACGAGAGGUUACAACAAGUGGCUUUUGGACUUUUAAGGACUGGGGUGCUAACGUUAAUAAACUUUCGUUGACUGCGAUAAAGAUGUAUAGAGACAUCUAUUAUCGCUAUUCAAUUAACACAAACAUAGAUAUUUUAUUCUUUGAAAAUUGUAUGGAUAGCCAAUCAUAGAUGUUUUUCUGCAUGUCUAGCAAGAAUAGACAGAAGGUUUUGAAUAAUCAUUGAGACAACUAGACCACCCAACCCAAUCAAACAAACUAUGUUUUUUAACAGAUCAUAUACAUUCAUAAUAUCCACCAACACUGAACCGAUCUUCCUUGACCUCGUACCACCUAGACUUCAACUCCAACCCCAAUCACUCCCGUAUGUUUACGGAUUAUAUUCCCCAGUUACUCAUAACUUCAUGUUUAAAAACAAUUAUUUAGUCUGACGCACAAUAAAUCAGUUUCCAUAGGGCUUGAUAAGCAUGUUGCCAGUAUCAACCAAAUAUUAAACAUUAUACACUUCCCUUAAAGACUUACGUAUUGUUUAAGAUCACAGCUCCUAAACCAAUUGUUGCAAAGUUUUUUUGGCUUUUUGGCUACAUUUUGACUAAGCUACCUAAACCAAUUGUUGCAA